UACGUAGGGUGCGAGCGUUAAUCGGAAUUACUGGGCGUAAAGCGUGCGCAGGCGGUUUUUUAAGUCAGUUGUGGAAUCCCCGGGCUUAACCUGGGAAUGGCAUUUGGGACUGCAAGGCUGGAGUGUGGCAGAGGAGACUGGAAUUCCUGGUGUAGCAGUGAAAUGCGUAGAUAUCAGGAGGAAUACCGAUGGCGAAGGCAGGGCUCUGGGCUGACACUGACGCUCAUGCGCGAAAGCGUGGGGAGCAAACAGG
rnacentral:rRNA from 1 species